AGCGAGGUGGGGAAGCCAGGUUAUCCCGGCGGGCUCAUAACCCGCAGAGCGGUUGUUCAAAUCAACCCCUCGCUACCA
rnacentral:tRNA from 1 species